rnacentral:misc_RNA from 1 species
GAUGAAGAACGUAGCGAAAUGCGAUAACUAAUGUGAAUUGCAUAAUUCAGUGAAUCAUCGAGUCUUUGAACGCACAUUGCGCCCCCUGGUAUUCCGGGGGGCAUGCCUGUCCGAGCGUCAUUGCUGCCCUCAAGCACGGCUUGUGUGUUGGGCUCCGUCCCCCCGGGGACGGGCCCGAAAGGCAGCGGCGGCACCGAGUCCGGUCCUCGAGCGUAUGGGGCUUUGUCACCCGCUCUGUAGGCCCGGCCGGCGCCAGCCGACAACCCAUCAUCCUUUUCAGGUUGACCUCGGAUCAGGUAGGGAUACCCGCUGAACUUAAGCAUAUCAAUAAGCGGAGGA